ACACACACACACACACACACACACACACAUCAGCCCUCGAAAGCAAUAAUAUUUUAUAUUCAAAGACAAGAACUUAAAAGCAUUAUACUUCUGAACAAUAUUUCAUCACUGAUUUCGAAUUUAUGUAAUUAUUGGUACCACUUUGCACGAAACGUGAAGGAAAGUUCAGUAGCCACGACCUCCUCCGCGGGACUGACACGUGCCCACAGCCUGCGUCGGCAACCACACACGGGCCGCGACUCAUACCGCACGGAGACAAGAUGCCGAGAUUUACUGAAGCAGCACAUUAAAGCUAGAAGAUAGAAGAUUUGUUUGUAAAUCUCAGCAGAUCGUCUUUAUGGGUAAUUAUCCAUCACAAAAUAUAACAACCUCGGCAACUUGACAGCUACCAGCCAUGUUUGAAUCCCGCAUGUUUGUACUUGUGUGUCUGUGUGUGUGUGUGUGUGUUUAAAGCUCGUUCGUCCAUAUGAGCGAUCGUAAUUUUUUUUUAAAGUAUUGUUUUGGUCAUCCUCUGCCUAAGGAUCAAUCGCGGUUUCGUGUAAUAGCUGGUUGUGUGGCUUCUGUCUCAAAGUAAGAAUCAUAAUUAAUGCACCACACAAAUGUAUACCGCGUCAAAAUAUACGCACCACCGGCGCCCGGAAUCUACCACUCAGCACCCAUGGAAGCACCGUAACUGUAUGGCAAUGAUGGCCUAUUUAUGUGGACACCCGGUGUGGUGUCAUGAGACAUCCCAAGAUCAUGAGACAUCCCAUCCUGAAUACAUAGGGCCUACAUGAAUUUCGACACGGUACUGUGUCGUUUGUCGACUGCUUGUCGGGAUCUGUCCCACCCAAGUUUACUUAUAUUAUUGUGAAUGCAAAUGAUGCCGUAUGUAUGUAUAUAACUAUAGGAUAUCAACAAUCACUCUUCUUCUUCUUCCUGUGACCUGUUCCGCUGUGCAUCGCUUUGUAGGACCACCUUGGUAUUUUUUUACACUUAUAUGCUUCACUUAGUUACUCUGUGAUAGUAAAGAUUGGGUUCCGCGAUGCGAAAUUAAGGAUGGGAUGUCUUACGAUACCGGAUGACACCAAACCGGUACCAGACACCUCAAGCGUCCCGGUGGCCACGGUACGUUUCUAUGUGCACGGGCAAAUGGUAACUUUUUAGUACACCAUCACUCCAUGUUCCGGCGAGUGCUGAAUAUCACUAUGAAACUGCAUCUCACCCACCAGCAACAGGCCGGGGAGCGAGACAGCGUCAUGGAAGGUGUCGAAACAAAAAUGUUAUCAUACGUAAUCUUAAGUAGUCGAGACUAGUAUAUAAAAGUAUUUGUAUGUCAAACAAUUAAAAGCUGGGAUAUCUACUAAUUUGUGUAUCAUUCAUUAUUACAUUUAUUUCCCAAAUAAGAACACGCAUUGAUUUUUUUUUAUAUGCGCUGGGAGUAUUGUUGACAACGCGACAAUGAACUAAAAAGAGACAGAAGUGUCGUUUGUGCCCGGCGUCAGUAGUGGGCUACGAUGAGUGUACUACGAUGAUAGAGGGGUCAGUGUGAUAGUGCCAGUCGGGUGGGGUAUAUCUCUUCCACAACUUCUGCUACAACAAACAUUACUCACCAUCGGUACAAGCGCAGCAACAAGCACUAUGUUGAUGACAGUUGGAGUGGUGGUGGCGGUGGUGGGGGCGAUGACAGUGGUGGUGUCGGUGAGUGUGAAGAUUUAUUUCACAUAUACGUCAGGCCGUUGCCGCAGCACCCGGUCCAUGGCGGGCAAGACAGUCAUCGUCACGGGCAGCACAGCAGGUGAGGGGGUCUUAGAAGGAAGGGGCGGGCACGAGUACACACACGACACACACAAACACUCAUUGCUCGCUUCCCUUCAGGUAUUGGGAAGGAGACGACGCGUGACCUGCUGCGGCGUGGAGCCAGAGUCAUCCUCGCCUGCAGGAACCUGGAGAAGGGUGCCAGGGUGGCCGGUGAGUCGCAGGAGAGAGCAGGGGAAGGGAUGGACACUACGGCAACGCCUUGUACACUGGUGUUUGUUGUUGUUUGAACUGAGGGCUGCCGUUAGGAGGACGGGAUACAAGAUUGCAGAUUAUCGUACUCAGCACAUUGUAUAUGUUGAUUUCUAACCCAAAACUGUCGAGCUCACACAAAUAAAGAUAUUUAAAAAUACUAAUAGAGAUAGCUGGAAAAUACUGAUGGGUGUUUUCGAGUGGAAAGGCGAAAUCGGCGUUCUUAUAGCUGGUAUGAUUAUCAUGUCAUAGAAUAAGCAUUGCACAUCUAGGGACGCCGCUACACUGGUGCUGCCACCAGACGGGCAGUCUCCGCAACCUCCCUACUUUCAAAAUGGCGUGUAUAGCCUCGUUUUUAUAUAGUCUACGGUGGCUUGUGUGUUUGUCAUUUCAAAGAUGUAGCGAGUACCACUGAACGUAUUAGUGUCUUGUGUGAGAAACAAUGGUGAUUGUUUAUGUGGAUGGCUGUCAGGUUAGAACAAUUACUUGUUAACUGCAAUGGACUUGACGCCUCGCCUUGCGUGCAUCAUUUCUGUGAUGUAAACAUAAGGUGUGUCUCACAUAAGUGCUAACACAAGGCUGUCCGACGCAGGUGAGCUGCGUCAGUAUCAAGUUAGUCGUCAGGUGUGCUGGUGUCACAUACAUCCCCGGAUGUGUCUGUCGGAUUGACGUUAUCAGGAAGGUCUGCGUCAGGUAAAGUUCACCUGGUGUGAGUGGUGUCACCAGCAACACACUCACUACCAACGAAAGGAGUUUCACCACAUGGGUGAGCUGCCUCACUGUCACAUCAGGGUCACCAGGUGUCAUCACCACCACAGUUACUAACACACAGGUCUUCACCACAGGUGAGAUGCAAACCGAGGUGGGAGGCGUCAGGUAAGUGGUGGUGCGUCGCCUCGACACUUCAGACCUCGCCCCCGUCCGUACGUUUGCCAAGGAGGUGCUGGACACAGAGGAGACCAUCCAUGUGCUGGUGGGUGCUGGUGUGGUGCAACGCAGUGUGUGUGUGUGUGUGUGUGUGUCAGCCUCUCUCCUCCUCCAAAGGUCAACAACGCGGGCAUCCUUGGCCCUGACAAGAGACAGGUGACGGCGGACAGACUCGAGCUGACCACGGCGACAAACCAUUUCGGUCACUUCCUUCUGACCAACCUGCUGCUGGGGAGACUUAAGUUCUCUGGUGUUCUCGUUAUUGUUGAUAUGGUGAUGGUGAUGAUUAUGAUUGUGAUAGUGAUGGUGGUGUUUGUAGUGGUGGUGGUGUACAACCAUUGCUGCUAGAACCAACACUGUUAGAGCAUUCAUAACAUUGUUCGUUUAUUACAAGGGACUUUAGAACAGUUUGCAGAGUUAUAUCCUGAAGCAGUAACUUAAAACCCUUUCCACAGGUCGUCUCAGGGAGUCAGCACCCAGCCGCAUCGUCACCGUGUCCUCCCUGACGCACGGGUAGGUUAGUCAGCUGGACUUGGACGAUCUCACUCUGAGCAACAAGUACGCGUCAAUGCACGCCUACUCCGUCAACAAACUGUGCAACGUUCUCUUCACUCGUGAACUGGCGGACAGGAUGGCUGGCACGGGCGUAACGGCCAACAGCCUCCACCCUGGCGUCGUGCGGACAGAAAUAGUUCGCAAAAGAUGUAACUUCCUGGUAUAUUUCGGUUCCUUCAUCAUGGUCUUCACCUCGAAGGUAAGGAACUUGAGUGUUUGUUUUCUCCUCUGUCUCUGGAGUACUACAUUACUAUAAAAGAUUUCCUCCAAGAUGUAUACUGACCAUUACUCCCAAUUCUAGAAAACAUUUGCAUAAUAUUAAGACGUAGGAGCAGCAAAGAGCGGGAUGAGUGAUCCGACUGAUUUGUUGCCUACACCCGGUAUCCAGACCCCCUCCGCCAGCCCCGCCCACCCGUCACUGCAUAACAUUACCUCACAAAGAAGGCUGUGUGUACCUUACCCACCACUUGUGUUAUAUGAUGAGCCCUUUUACGAGGGUAAAACAAAACAAAUAAAUAUAAAGUGUCUCCCUCUAUCUAUCUAUCUAUUUCACCUUCACCAUCAUUAUCCCAGGACGCUUCCGCCGGAGCCCAGACCACCAUCCACCUAGCGGUGUCGGAGGAGGUGGAAGACGUGACCGGCCGCUACUUCGCUGACUGCAAGGAGGCAGCCACCUCCGAGCUGGCGCGCCGCAAGGACCUGGCCACCGCCCUGUGGGAGGCCAGUGUGAAGGCCGUCGGGCUGAAGCAGCACGAGACACACUGCUGAUUGCUGACUUCCGUGUUCUCGCAGAUUAAGUACCGUUCGCCCCCUCCUGAUUCUCUCUAACUCCCUGCAGCUGCAACAACAGCAAAGUGACAUACUGCCAAGUGCUGACCACCUCAGUCAAGCUGAAUCAAGUCCCACGCCUGCUCUUGACUCUUUUGGAGUUCCUGCAGAGAAACAAACGGACAGACAGUUAGACAGACAGGGAUAGGUGGACAGGCAGACCCUCUUAGUAAAAUAUUAAUAAAGACAGCUCUGCACAGCGUCCUUCUGUCAGGUGUCAAUCCAAACAAGGUGUUGAUCAUUCCCUGCCCUGUGUUCACCGCCGUGUCUGCAGCGGCGACAGUGUUCCCCGGCAGUGUGUUGGGCGGCGACUGUAAGGUUAAAUAUUUCCCAGCCAGACGCGACACGCCGAGUUGAAGUUGAUAUAAAUACCAGAUAAAAAAAGAAAGUGUAUUAUCUUAUAUCCCCACAAUUACUGGGCUCUCAAGGUUUGUCUGUGGUUGAAGGCCAUGUUCUAUUACUUAUGUGCUAGUUCCCAAGGGUAAAAGAAUCUUCUAAAAACGGGACGGGACUCAAAUUUUGUCGAUUAGCAUUAAAGCCUUUAUAAAUACUUGGUGUGGUCCCUCCUCAUGUAAUUUA